CAGUCGUCUGACAAGAUUCUGGGUAUUCUGCUCACCAGAAGGGUUAUUUUCUCUAACCAUAUUUCUGUAGGAAUGCAUCUUUUAAGUCUCCUGCUGCAUUAUUUUGACAUGACCUUCAUAUCUUUUCAGUUCAUAGUUUCUGGAAUUCUUUUUCUCGGUAUAUGAAGUGAUGUUGCUGGGUGUGCUUUUUAUAACAAACCUUGAUGGAAGAUUAGAAAAAAGCUAAUAUACCCUAUGCCUUGGUAAUUUCAGGGUCAAAAUAGAUUUUGAGUGUUGAUCUUCUUGUGCUUGCUGAUUAAUCUAUUUGACCAAGCAGCUGGUGUAUCAGAUCUAGCCGGCAGCACACUGAGCACAUUAGGAAAACAAAGAGAACGUGCGAUUAAACUAAGAAGAGACAAGAACAGCAUUUUCUCCCUGUUCUGCAUGAAGGCAGAAGAUGCUCCGAGAGGAUACCAACUCAGUUUUCUGAUUGGAACCAUGGCCUUUUUCCCCCAUCAGAUUAUUCAAAGAGUACAGUGUUAAUAAUCCUUCCCAGAUGAUGGUAUGAUGGAUGGUUACAGUUUGAUCUAUCACCUACUUCACGGCAGGUAGAACUAACGAAACAGUUAGAAGACAGAACUGCUUUCAUGACUGAGGUGGGAAGGGCUGCAGCUAUUGCAGAGAAGCGCUGCACAGAAAUGGUGAGCUUUCAGAGAGAAAAUGCCGAACUCCACCAGCUGGCAUCCUGCUACCUCCCGGUGGAUGGGUGACGUCACUGGCUGUCGCGGCUGUGCCAGCUUUUGAGUCACUGGCAGACGUAGCAGAGCCUUCUGCCUGGAGCAGCGUCGGUUGCCCCUACAGGAACUGCAAGGAUCAAAUGACAUUACAAGACACAUUUUAAAAAAGAAGAAUGGCAACAGCGUCUACCUAGAAAGCUCCUUAGCCUGUAUAUGUAUUGGAGAAACGUUAGAGCCAGUUUGAAACGGAACAUGAUACUGUGCGUGCCUUUGGUAUAUUGUCACUGGUACAUGAAUACGCCCUCCUACAAGGCUUAGAUGGCUGGAAUUAACAUAUUUGAGGUGACUCCCUGCUCCUUUAGUCCUUGGCAGACAAUCUUUAAUGGGCCCUGAACCCCCGAAAGCUCCCUGGUGCCUUUAGAGAAGCUGGCCCUCACGUGAAGGGGCUGUGCUCUUCUGCAUUCAGCCGUGUUUGGAAAAUCCAGUGAGCUCAGUGUUUGUAAGCAAGGUGUGCUGCCACAGCUGCCUAGCACAGAGGCAGCUGAUGAGUUUGACAGGCCUUGGUGAACUGCACUCACUUGGAAGGAUGGACAUAAUCGAUCACUAAUUUCUUGGGCUCAGUACCGGCUGACCUAACCUAGGUGUCUGACUUUGGCACCUAACUUGCACUUAAGUUUUAGGCCCCUGGUGAAGCAGUCUUGCUAAAGUGUCUAUGUGCUCCAUCCAUGAUGUGGGCAGAGGUAGUGGCGUACACUUACGCAGGCAGGAUGCGUCUGGGGGCCUGCAAAAGCCUUAUUCUGCUUGCUCUACAGAGCACGGGUAUUCACUUUCAGACGCCUGUCUUGUCAGGCAUCUGGAAUAGGACGGGCCAGUAGGUUAGGUGGGUUGGAUCCUGCUCUCUUAGUUCAAACUUUUUUUUUGCAGACUAGCAGUUAAUAGACAUCACUGCAAAGUAUGCAUCCACAAUGUGCUCAUGCACUGCUGCUGAGAGAGGAGUGCCUAGGUGCGCAGACACAGACAUGCUCUGUGCUGAAGGCAUUACCCAAGAUUUGUGAAAUGUACUUUGUCAUCACAGGCAAUUUUUCCUUUUGCCACCCUCAGAGCUAUGCCUUUGCUGGGAUUUAAGGAAGCCUUCAAUAUCUUGACUCAUCCCAAAGUUUAUUUAUAAAUAAGGAGGGCAGCGUACACUUGCAUGACUCCAGGUACUGCUGGCAGGAUUCUGACUGCUCAGAAGGUUUUAUUCAUUCCUAAGGAGUGGGAAUAAGCUGUAACAUUUCUAUCCAACUGAUUUUCCUAUUUUAGACAUCACUACAGCAAUAUGAACAAGAGGAACUGAAAAAGCAGAUAUAAAUAGCAGUGAGAUGUGAUCAUUUCUGAUAUUCUUGCUGAGAUUUUAUGGUGUAUUUUUUAGUCCUGAUUAUACACCUCAAGGCAGAAAACAGGCUAAAGCAGAUUUUAUAUCAAAUGUGCAAUGAACUUUAGAUUAUUUCCUUGGCCCUAUUGCUAUUUUUCCAGAGAAAAUUAGAAAAGGAAAAAAUGAUUUUUAGGGCUUAUCAUUUAGCAGAUAACCUUUCUUGGUAAAAUGGUCUUAUCUGCUGCGGUUUCUGAACAUUUGGCAUUCAUUGCUAGAAAUGUUACUACUUAUUUUUCAUUCUGAAUCCUUCUUGCUACAAAACUCAGAUCACAUCCUAUUUAUAGUCCAGUUUUGGAAAGAGAUAAACAUGGAUUCAUAGAUUCAUGUGAGAAGUUAAACAGCUACUUAAUUUUUCAAAGAAUGCCUUUUUAUGAAUCAAACCAGUUAACUUAAAUCUGUAGCUUUGUAUGUAUUCGUAGGUACUGCAGUUUGAUAAAUGCAUGAUGAAGUAAGUCACUAGCAGACUUACCUUUCGUCUCAUGUUAUCUCACGACUGAAGAGCAAACACAUGACAAAAUUUGUAGCCAAUAUUUGUUUGGGGCUGGUAGGGUGAAUCAGUCUGGAUGACAAUCAUUUCCUAUUAAAAAACUGAAAGCAUUAACUACCGUUCAGUUUAGUCUGCAGAAAAUGCUAAGUACUGAGGGACAAAUAAAAAAUGAGAUUCACAGGAGUACCAGUUAGAUUAAUCAGUUAAUGUCUGUAAAAUAUGUUAAAAUGGAGAACUAAUCAACCAAAGGUUAUUAUUACUUAUAAAGAAAUGUGUCUUCUAAUUUUAGAAAUCUCUUCAUUGGAUCAGUGGAAAAAACAAGAGCAGCCUGGAACCCAGGAAUUAAAAUCAUACUAACAGUAGAUCAAAGAAGGAACACAAAAAUAAAAGCAAAUAGCAGCACUCAGGAAGCAGUAAACAGCUCUGGCUGCCUGACAGUAACCUGAGGCUCCAUCAUGCAGAACAAAAAAUGAAAGACAAGAGCCUGAAAAUGCACUUUUUUCUCAAGACAUCUCUACAGCAAGUAUAUCUUCAGAUAUGAGAAGAGAGUUGGAAGGGUACAGAGUAACAAAUGACAAGUAAGCAAAAGCGAUAAAUGGGCGUAAAAUAAGGGAGCAAUACAAAGAUUAUACUUAAAAUCCACAUUGUUAAUUGGAAUCAAGUCACAGUUCUUUCUCUCUUGGAAAAAGAAUAGUAAUUUGUCUUCAGCUUUGGCAGAAGAACAGCAUGCAUAAGAGCAAAUAAUAUUUGAAAGUAGAACAAGCCGACAUGGCACCAAGUGAGAUAAAUGCUUAUCUCAUAAUCAUUAACUCCUGGCCUAGCUACUGCUUUGCAUUGCCAAAAAAUCAGGAGUUGGAUAGGAAUUAUGUAGGCUAAAAUAAUAAUUCUAAGGAGCAGUAUCAGAAAAGAGUUGCAACUGUAUUUGCCUGUGAUUACUAAAGUACUAUAAAAACAAAGAGCAUCUCCUCUUGGUGGUCCUAAAUCAGUGAUUCACUGUGGUAACUUCUGAUUUUUGCUGCAGAAGUAGCUAACGUCCAUGUUAUUCAGGAGCCAAGUGGCCAACUUCUGUUAGAUAAUCUCCUCCAUCAUUAUGUGUCUGAAUAGGAAAGACCUACUGUUCCUAGAAGGGAGACAAAGUGGUUGCAGUGGCUUCCAGAAGACAAAUCAAAAGUGUUCUGGACUCCUGCCUCAGCAUGAAGCUGAUCUAGUGUCAAGUCAUCUAUUUAGCAAGAUAACCAUCUGUCCAGAGUAGGUUUGGUGAGGUAAUGGUUUUAUUAAUUUCUUAUAAUAAGAUGAGCAGGCAUAAGGCUGCCUGUGGCAUUCAGAGAUUAGUAUUCGACCUUUACUAAAUUAUUUGCCUUCAUUUCUGGUGCAAAGCCUGAUGAUUUUCAGUGCGUCAGAGGUGCUACCGGGUGAAUUUUCCUAGGGCUUUGCAGUGAGAACAAGAAGAUGUCAGGGUGGUAGGUCUGAACUCAUUUUCACACCUGCAGAAUAAGCACUUUUUAAUCAUACAGGCUGAAGCAAGGAAAGGCCAUUUCCUCUAGACUGUUCUACACUGCAGGUCAUUGUGUGCCAUCCACAUGCUCUUCUAACUUUCCUGGACAAAACUAAACUUGCUGAAAAGCUAUCUGCUUGAUUUGCAUAAGCUAUCACUUUCUUUGGUAGGUUGUCCAAAAGUUGCCACCCCCACUGUUUAAAAAAGGUAACUUGCUCCUUACUUGAAUUUUCUUCUUAAAUUUCCACCCACUAGUUUUGCCUGUGACUUUCUCCUCGAGCUCAAAAGGGCCUCUAGGACUCAGUGUUCUCACUGCUUAAAGGAGUCUCAUCAAAUGUUUCUUCGCUAAGCUAAGCAAAUCAAACUCCUGAAGCCUCUCUUUUUCCAACCCUGGAAUCAUUUAUACAGGUCUUAUCUGCACUCUCUUCAGGUUUUCAGCAUCUUUUCAGAAAUGUGGAUGUCAAAAUUGGACAGAAUUACCGUGUAAGCAAUGGCUUCUAUAUUAGUGGAGAAAACAACAACAACGACAAAACCCAAAAUGUUGUGUUAUGUCUUGGAAUAGAUUUUAAGAUAAAUUCAAUCUCCAGCAUAAUCAGUAGCUAAGUAACACAAACGAGGAAAAAACAGCUUGUGCACCUUUAAGAUGUAGGGCUUGUAAAGCACGGUGAUAAAUCAUGAGCAGGACUUAUACAUAAAACGUGGGGAAUGCUGCAAACGCUCCUGAUCACGAACAAUAUAAAUCCACACUAAAAUACUUUAAGGAUAUCCCCUCCUUUUGUUUUCCAAAAGAAAUUCCAAUAGCAUGGCCCAUCGUCUCAAAGGAUCAUGCUAUGGACAUAUCCACAGGUGCCUGCAGUCUUACGUGCAGAAUGGUUGACAGGGACAUGCAUGGUAACAUGCAUAUUUUACGCAUGCAUGUACUUUCACUUCACCGGCACCACUUCACGGCUUUGAGUAUUUUGUAUUAAAGGCUUAAUCUGCCAUUUCACUUUACUUCUCUGGUCUUCCUCUAGAAGUUAGUACACAAGCAAAGAUUUGGAGAUAAGUUAAUUGGUGUCAGCUCUAUUGUCUAUUAAAUAUUCCCAGGCUGCCGUCAUCCCCUGACCAUCCUGAUCAUCAGGCAUUUGCCACCACCAAUUAACUUAGCUGAAUAAACAAGCAAGAAAGGAUGGUAUGUAAACUGAGACUUGCAUGCUCCAGCUCAUAAUACUCACCCAUUUCCU